UCAAAGGAGACUGCCAGUGAUAAACUGGAGGAAGGUGGGGAUGACGUCAAGUCAUCAUGGCCCUUACGACCAGGGCUACACACGUGCUACAAUGGCGCAUACAAAGAGAAGCGACCUCGCGAGAGCAAGCGGACCUCAUAAAGUGCGUCGUAGUCCGGAUUGGAGUCUGCAACUCGACUCCAUGAAGUCGGAAUCGCUAGUAAUCGUGGAUCAGAAUGCCACGGUGAAUACGUUCCCGGGCCUUGUACACACCGCCCGUCACACCAUGGGAGUGRGUUGCAAAAGAAGUAGGUAGCUUAACCUUCGGGAGGGCGCUUACCACUUUGUGAUUCAUGACUGGGGUGAAGUCGUAACAAGGUAACCGUAGGGGAACCUGCGGUUGGAUCACCUCCUUACCUUAAAGAA
rnacentral:rRNA from 1 species